GGCGAGGGGCCCCCACAAUGGGGAGCUGUGAAUCUGGUCAGGGGCGAAAGCCAGCAGCCAUAAGCAGCCAACCUCAUGUGUGGUGGGUUCCUCGCCCGG
rnacentral:SRP_RNA from 1 species